rnacentral:rRNA from 1 species
GACGAACGCUGGCGGCGUGCUUAACACAUGCAAGUCGAACGGAAAGGCCCUGCUUUUGUGGGGUGCUCGAUUGGCGAACGGGUGAGUAACACGUGAGUAACCUGCCCUUGACUUUGGGAUAACUUCAGGAAACUGGGGCUAAUACCGGAUAGGAGCUCCUGCUGCAUGGUGGGGGUUGGAAAGUUUCGGCGGUUGGGGAUGGACUCGCGGCUUAUCAGCUUGUUGGUGGGGUAGUGGCUUACCAAGGCUUUGACGGGUAGCCGGCCUGAGAGGGUGACCGACCACAUUGGGACUGAGAUACGGACCAGACUCCUACGGGAGGCAGCAGUGGGGAAUAUUGCACAAUGGGCGGAAGCCUGAUGCAGCAACGCCGCGUGCGGGAUGACGGCCUUCGGGUUGUAAACCGCUUUCGCCUGUGACGAAGCGUGAGUGACGGUAAUGGGUAAAGAAGCACCGGCUAACUACGUG